UGAGUACGAGCUGCUACGGCAGCGAAGUGGGUGACGUCAAGCUUCCAAGAAAAGCCCUAUACCCGUUAAGGCAUGAUGGCCUGUACCCGAAACCGACACAGGUAGGAUGGUAGAGAAUACCGAGGGGCGCGAGGUAACUCUCUCUAAGGAACUCGGCAAAAUGGCCCCGUAACUUCGGGAGAAGGGGUGCCACCGCAAGGUGGUCGCAGUGAAGAGGCCCAGGCGACUGUUUACCAAAAACACAGGUCUCCGCUAAGUCGCAAGACGAUGUAUGGGGGCUGACGCCUGCCCAGUGCCGGAAGGUUAAGGAAGCUGGUCAGCGUAAGCGAAGCUAGCGACUGAAGCCCCGGUGAACGGCGGCCGUAACUAUAACGGUCCUAAGGUAGCGAAAUUCCUUGUCGGGUAAGUUCCGACCCGCACGAAAGGCGUAACGAUCUGGGCGCUGUCUCGGAGAGAGGCUCGGCGAAAUAGAAUUGUCUGUGAAGAUGCGGACUACGUGCACCCGGACAGAAAGACCCUAUGAAGCUUUACUGUAGCUUGGUAUUGUGCCCGGGCUCUGAAUGCGCAGGAUAGGUGGGAGGCUUUGAUCAACAGCUUGCGGGUUGUUGUGAGCCAACGGUGAGAUACCACUCUUUCAGAGCUAGGGUUCUAACGGUCACCCGUUAUCCGGGGACCGGACAGUAUCAGGUGGGCAGUUUGACUGGGGCGGUCGCCUCCUAAAAGGUAACGGAGGCGCGCAAAGGUUUGCUCAGGCUGGUUGGAAAUCAGCCGACGAGUGUAAAAGCAGAAGCAAGCUUGACUGUGAGACCUACAAGUCGAACAGGGACGAAAGUCGGCUUUAGUGAUCCGACGGUUCUGAGUGGAAGGGCCGUCGCUCAACGGAUAAAAGUUACUCUAGGAUAACAGGCUGAUCUCCCCCAAGAGUUCACAUCGACGGGGAGGUUUGGCACCUCGAUGUCGGCUCAUCGCAACCUGGGGCUGAAGUCGGUCCCAAGGGUUGGGCUGUUCGCCCAUUAAAGCGGUACGCGAGCUGGGUUCAGAACGUCGUGAGACAGUUCGGUCCAUAUCCGGUGCAUGCGCAGGUAUAUUGAGAGGAGUUCUCCCUAGUACGAGAGGACCGGGAGGAACGCACCUCUGGUGUACCAGUUAUCGUGCCAACGGUAAACGCUGGGUAGCCAUGUGCGGAGAGGAUAACCGCUGAAAGCAUCUAAGUGGGAAGCCCACCUCAAGAUGAGUAUUCCCAUGGCAUAAGCCAGUAAGGUCACGGGAAGAACACCCGUUGAUAGGCUCUACGUGGAAGCGCAGUAAUGCGUGAAGCGGAGGAGUACUAAUAGACCGAGGGCUUGACC
rnacentral:rRNA from 1 species